CCUACGGGAGACAGCAGUGAGGAAUAUUGGUCAAUGGGCGCGAGCCUGAACCAGCCAAGUAGCGUGAAGGAUGACUGCCCUACGGGUUGUAAACUUCUUUUAUAAAGGAAUAAAGUCAGGCACGUGUGCCCUGUUGUAUGUACCUUAUGAAUAAGGAUCGGCUAACUCCGUGCCAGCAGCCGCGGUAAUACGGAGGAUCCGAGCGUUAUCCGGAUUUAUUGGGUUUAAAGGGUGCGUAGGUGGGUUGUUAAGUCAGUUGUGAAAGUUUGCGGCUCAACCGUGAAAUUGCAGUUGAUACUGGCAGCCUUGAGUACAGUUGAGGUAGGCGGAAUGCGUGGUGUAGCGGUGAAAUGCUUAGAUAUCACGAAGAACUCCGAUUGCGAAGGCAGCUUACUAAACUGCCACUGACGUUGAUGCACGAAAGUGUGGGUAUCAAACAGGAUUAGAUACCCGGGUAGUC
rnacentral:rRNA from 1 species